UCCCAGACUCCUACGGGAGGCAGCAGUGGGGGAUAUUGCACAAUGGGGGGAACCCUGAUGCAGCGACGCCGCGUGGGUGAAGAAGCGCCUCGGCGCGUAAAGCCCUGUCAGCAGGGAAGAAAAUGACGGUACCUGAAGAAGAAGCCCCGGCUAACUACGUGCCAGCAGCCGCGGUAAAACGUAGGGGGCGAGCGUUGUCCGGAAUGACUGGGCGUAAAGGGUGCGUAGGCGGCAUAAUAAGUUAGAAGUGAAAUACCCAGAGCUUAACUCGGGUGCUGCUUCUAAGACUGUUGAGCUUGAGUGCGGGAGAGGUUAAUGGAAUUCCUAGUGUAGCGGUGGAAUGCGUAGAUAUUAGGAGGAACACCAGAGGCGAAGGCGAUUAACUGGACCGUAACUGACGCUGAGGCACGAAAGUGUGGGUAGCAAACAGGAUUAGAUACCCCCGUAU
rnacentral:rRNA from 1 species